GAAUCUCCAUUGUGAUUUUUCGUUCUUUUAGGUAGAGACUUUAAAACAAACAUGCAGCUCAGUGGACUGACACUCAGCUGAACUUCGAUGCAUUUGGCUGGUUAACACCUGCUCAGUAGAAGAGGAAUGCCCUCUGACACCUGAUGUAACAGCUAAUCACUGAGCUCAUUCUGCGAGAUUCCCAGUCAAUGAGGUUUCCUUCGGUUGACGUUAGGAUGGAGAAUGAACGACUCCCCCACACUGCAUCAGCUAUGAAGAGAUAUGAGAGAGAGAGAGAGAGAGAGAGAGAGAGAAGGAAGCAUCUAACCAGCUGACAGCUGCAACCAAACACACACACACAUACACACUCUCUUCAUCAUGCCUGUCAACACACACUUAACAUACACCUGCACUCAUAACGCCUCACGUUCAAUCAUACUGCAUCACAAAACCACACAAUUAAAGGAAUGCUCCAGGUACAAUACAAGCUAGUGGAC
rnacentral:lncRNA from 1 species